UAGGGAAUCUUCGGCAAUGGACGAAAGUCUGACCGAGCAACGCCGCGUGAGUGAAGAAGGUUUUCGGAUCGUAAAACUCUGUUGUUAGAGAAGAACAAGGACGUUAGUAACUGAACGUCCCCUGACGGUAUCUAACCAGAAAGCCACGGCUAACUACGUGCCAGCAGCCGCGGUAAUACGUAGGUGGCAAGCGUUGUCCGGAUUUAUUGGGCGUAAAGCGAGCGCAGGCGGUUUCGUAAGUCUGAUGUGAAAGCCCCCGGCUCAACCGGGGAGGGUCAUUGGAAACUGGGAGACUUGAGUGCAGAAGAGGAGAGUGGAAUUCCAUGUGUAGCGGUGAAAUGCGUAGAUAUAUGUAGGAACACCAGUGGCGAAGGCGGCUCUCUGGUCUGUAACUGACGCUGAGGCUCGAAAGCGUGGGGAGCAAACAGG
rnacentral:rRNA from 1 species